rnacentral:rRNA from 1 species
GACGAACGCUGGCGGCGUGCCUAAUACAUGCAAGUAGAACGCACAGUUUAUACCGUAGCUUGCUACACCAUAGACUGUGAGUUGCGAACGGGUGAGUAACGCGUAGGUAACCUGCCUGGUAGCGGGGGAUAACUAUUGGAAACGAUAGCUAAUACCGCAUAAUAUUAAUUAUUGCAUGAUAAUUAAUUGAAAGGUGCAAUUGCACCACUACCAGAUGGACCUGCGUUGUAUUAGCUAGUAGGUGAGGUAACGGCUCACCUAGGCGACGAUACAUAGCCGACCUGAGAGGGUGAUCGGCCACACUGGGACUGAGACACGGCCCAGACUCCUACGGGAGGCAGCAGGAGGGAAUCUUCGGCAAUGGACGAAAGUCUGACCGAGCAACGCCGCGUGAGUGAAGAAGGUUUUCGGAUCGUAAAGCUCUGUUGUAAGAGAAGAACGGGUGUGAGAGUGGAAAGUUCACACUGUGACGGUAUCUGACCAGAAAGGGACGGCUAACUACGUG